GCUGGAGCCGCGCUUGAGCAUGCGCGGACAGAGCAGAGAGCGUGAAUGUUCGGUGAAACCCCUGGCAAGUUCCCCGCUUCUACCCUCUUCCGAGAGUCCUGUGCUUUUGGCAUAGUCAUUGUUGUUUAGUGAGGUUAAUAUAACAGUUCCGUGAGAGCAGAGAGUUUUACAAAUAAUGAGUCACUGCGUCACUAGAGCUUCAUCGCAGCAUCCCUGUCCUGGCUUCACACAGUAAAAUUAAUAAAACGUUGGUUUUCAAAGUGUUUUCAUAUCUAUUUUCUCAUUUGAUCUUCUCCACUUUGUCAGAGCCACAGAACGGAUUAAGAGCCGCAUUUAACAAAAGACUAAAAUACUUGAAUACUGAAGCCCAGCCAUCUCUCCAAUUUAGGUUUAGGACUUCCCUGGUGCCGCAGUGGUUAAGAAACCACCUGCCAAUGCAGGGGACAUGGGUUUGAUCCCUGGUCCAGGAAGAUCCCACAUGCCGCAGAGCAACUAAGCCCGUGUGCCACAGUUACUACUGAGCCUGUGCUCUAGAGCCUGCGAGCCACAACUGCGCCUAGAGCCCAUGCUCCACAACAAGAGAAGCCACCGCAAUGAGAAGCCCACGCACUGCACUGAAGAGUAGCCCUGGUUCGCUGCAACUAGAGAAAAGCCCGCGGGCAGCAACGAAGACCCAACGCCGCCAUAAAUAAAUAAAUAAAUAAAUAAAUAAAUAAUUUUAAAAAGAAGACCCAAAACAUACACAUAAUUUAAAAAGUAAAAAAAAAAAAAUGUAUGUUUACCAACAACUCUUGUGUUGGGGACCUUUCUGUGGGAUAAUUUGCCCACAUACAUUAAGUAUCAGAAUUGUCAUCUCAGACGUGGUAUGUUCCUAAAGUCUCUCUCAAUUUUAGGGACAAGCGGGGUGGUUUAAAAUACUGAUUUUUUAAAAAAUUCAGGUAUUCAGUUUGCCUAAAAAUAAAGUCUGUUGUGGAAUAACUGCUGAA